rnacentral:rRNA from 1 species
AACGCUGGCGGCAGGCCUAACACAUGCAAGUCGAACGGUAACAGGAAGCAGCUUGCUGCUUUGCUGACGAGUGGCGGACGGGUGAGUAAUGUCUGGGAAACUGCCCGAUGGAGGGGGAUAACUACUGGAAACGGUAGCUAAUACCGCAUGACGUCGCAAGACCAAAGAGGGGGACCUUAGGGCCUCUUGCCAUCGGAUGUGCCCAGAUGGGAUUAGCUAGUAGGUGGGGUAAUGGCUCACCUAGGCGACGAUCCCUAGCUGGUCUGAGAGGAUGACCAGCCACACUGGAACUGAGACACGGUCCAGACUCCUACGGGAGGCGGCAGUGGGGAAUAUUGCACAAUGGGCGCAAGCCUGAUGCAGCCAUGCCGCGUGUAUGAAGAAGGCCUUCGGGUUGUAAAGUACUUUCAGCGGGGAGGAAGGGAGUAAAGUUAAUACCUUUGCUCAUUGACGUUACCCGCAGAAGAAGCACCGGCUAACUCCGUGCCAGCAGCCGCGGUAAUACGGAGGGUGCAAGCGUUAAUCGGAAUUACUGGGCGUAAAGCGCACGCAGGCGGUUUGUUAAGUCAGAUGUGAAAUCCCCGGGCUCAACCUGGGAACUGCAUCUGAUACUGGCAAGCUUGAGUCUCGUAGAGGGGGGUAGAAUUCCAGGUGUAGCGGUGAAAUGCGUAGAGAUCUGGAGGAAUACCCGGUGGCGAAGGCGGCCCCCUGGACGAAGACUGACGCUCAGGUGCGAAAGCGUGGGGAGCAAACAGGAUUAGAUACCCUGGUAGUCCACGCCGUAAACGAUGUCGACUUGGAGGUUGUGCCCUUGAGGCGUGGCUUCCGGAGCUAACGCGUUAAGUCGACCGCCUGGGGAGUACGGCCGCAAGGUUAAAACUCAAAUGAAUUGACGGGGGCCCGCACAAGCGGUGGAGCAUGUGGUUUAAUUCGAUGCAACGCGAAGAACCUUACCUGGUCUUGACAUCCACGGAAGUUUUCAGAGAUGAGAAUGUGCCUUCGGGAACCGUGAGACAGGUGCUGCAUGGCUGUCGUCAGCUCGUGUUGUGAAAUGUUGGGUUAAGUCCCGCAACGAGCGCAACCCUUAUCCUUUGUUGCCAGCGGUCCGGCCGGGAACUCAAAGGAGACUGCCAGUGAUAAACUGGAGGAAGGUGGGGAUGACGUCAAGUCAUCAUGGCCCUUACGACCAGGGCUACACACGUGCUACAAUGGCGCAUACAAAGAGAAGCGACCUCGCGAGAGCAAGCGGACCUCAUAAAGUGCGUCGUAGUCCGGAUUGGAGUCUGCAACUCGACUCCAUGAAGUCGGAAUCGCUAGUAAUCGUGGAUCAGAAUGCCACGGUGAAUACGUUCCCGGGCCUUGUACACACCGCCCGUCACACCAUGGGAGUGGGUUGCAAAAGAAGUAGGUAGCUUAACCUUCGGGAGGGCGCUUACCACUUUGUGAUUCAUGACUGGGGUGAAG